rnacentral:rRNA from 1 species
ACAAAAAGUAUAUUCAAACUUAUGCCAUAAGACCAAGACCGGUUACUCACUAAAGCCAAGGAGGGCUGAGCCUGGUCAGUACCUGUAUGGGAGAACACAUGGGAAAACUAGGUUGCUGUUAGAA